CUUCCUUCCUCCACGAUGUUCCUCUAUAUUUAUGCACUAGUAGUAGUAAUAAUAGUAUGGUGUCCAUACAUUAUUAAAAAUCAUGCCAAUAACUUUUUAUGAUAAAUGAUGUCUGAUGAAACUGACAGCUCUAUUUUGCCCUUUUUAAUUAAUUUAAUGUUGGCUUGGUUGGGGGAUUCGAACCUACAUGAUUAUGACAUGAGUUAACCCCACUUUCUUCAAUAACUAGUUUCUAGUGUGGACCGUCCUACAGUAAUAUAGUGUACAGUAGUAGAAAACUAGUCGGUAGUCUGUCAUCAGAAGAUAAUAUAGUUAGCUGCGCUUUUUCAAAAAAUUUGUAGUACUUAGGUUUGUCAUUAAUAUCACUCAAUUGCAUUGAUAAAUUGUGGAAACCUUUGAUGAUUCAAUUCCAUUUUUUAAUUUAAUUUAGUAAGGCAUAACACUAACAGUUUAAUUUGUUUUGUAAUUAUUUUUGUAUAGGUUCUGCAAAGUGCACAGAUGUAAUACUACACACGGAAUGGCUUCACUUUACAUCCCCCAAAAGGUUUAAUUUCCGCAGACCUUGGUCUUGGUCUUGGAUCUUGAUUAGUCGUGAGUUUUGGGCCCAGCAGAUAUAAGGACUUCAUGGAAUUUAGCGGAGACAAACCGAAGAUGAGUACUUCAUAAGAGCACGAGGGCAAAACAAUAACUUAUACAGAUAAACAAGUACAGCCCAUCAAGACGACCCCCAUCUUCCAGCCACCUGUGGGCAGCUUGCUCAAUAUUUAUGGACUGAUAUAAACCACAAUCGCUUUUCUUCUGUACACAAUCUAGUUUACCUGUUCAGUGUGCUACCAAAGAGUUAGGGGGUACUUCCUGGGUCUAUCCUGGCUCUCCAACCUUUCGCAAUCUUUAUUAGCAAACUACAUGGCAAUUAUUGAUGACUAACACAAAGGGAAACUUAUUUAUAUUCAGCUCUUUAUCAAAAUAAAGUAAGUGUGUGGUUGAAAAACUGACUAGUUUUAAAUAUGUCCAAGACAACUUAUAUAUAGAAAGAUUUAACAGUAAUACAUACAGUUACCCAAACCCAUAAACAUUAACUGUGAUAUUAUCCCAGAUGUUAAAAAGUAAGUUAAGAUCAUACAAUAGACUCUGGCGAUAAUCUCGAUUUCACAGUGCAAA